UACGUAGGGUGCAAGCGUUGUCCGGAAUUAUUGGGCGUAAAGAGCUCGUAGGCGUAUUGUCGCGUCUGCUGUGAAAACCCGAGGCUCAACCUCGGGCCUGCAGUGGGUACGGGCAGACUAGAGUGCGGUAGGGGAGAUUGGAAUUCCUGGUGUAGCGGUGGAAUGCGCAGAUAUCAGGAGGAACACCAAUGGCGAAGGCAGAUCUCUGGGCCGUAACUGACGCUGAGGAGCGAAAGCAUGGGGAGCGAACAGG
rnacentral:rRNA from 1 species